UUUUUUAAUUUUUGCACCUCACCUCUCUCAGGCGCGCGCCUUGCACAGGGUCCAGGACCCUUGGCUCCUCGAUGCGCCUUGAGCCUUUAACAACUAUGGGUGGAUCCACCAAUCUAUGUUGGAUGCAAGCAAACUAUUUUUAUUGCUCCUCACUCAACUCAUCCUCAAUGGCUGCCACUUCCACCUAACUAUAAAUAAAAUCUUCUAUUAUAUUUUCACAGAUCCAUCUUAGCACACUAACAUCUGCCAUUUUCACAUUCCUUUAUCACCCAACUUUCAAUGCAAUGUGUCAUAACUAGUAAAAUUGUAAAAAUCAGUUUUUAUGAUCAUAAGACAUCCACUGCACUAAUUAUCUAUUAUCAAUCAGUUUAAAAAAUUAUAGGAAGUCAAUGCACAGUUGAAUGGAGCAUGGCAUUAGGAUGCUAAACCUUCAACACAUCAUCACAACUUACGCUGCAGGAAAUAGAUCAUAACAGCUCCAAUAAUUCUAAACCUGAGAAAAUAAUACAUUAUCCUUCAAUUAGGCUUACCGCCCACCAUAAUUGUACUAAUUGGCACCUAACAACAAGUAAUCUUUUAUACAGCUACACAGUUUAAAUAAAUAGUUCUACCAUAAUCCUUAGUUUUAUCUAGAGAAAAAACUAGUUAGAUUUUGUUUAGCAGAUGGUUUCAAUUUAGCAGCAUUAAUAUAUAGAAUAUGAUUGGUUUUAUUUCAGCAUAGCAUUGGAUUCAAGGUAUUCUCAAACCUAAACAUAGGAAGGUCAUUAUUCCUAGAGACGACACAUCCAUAAAAUCUACAUUACCUGGGCCCUUCAUUUAACACUUAAGUACUAAUGUCUGACACUUGGAUAUGGGGAACGGUAUGGAUGCUGGACACACCAAAAUGUUUGAAAAUAUUCCAAAACAUGAGUCUGAUGCUUGGACACCAACCCACUCUCAAUGUUGCAGGAUGAGGAUAAAACUCACAUCUCAUCAUCAACUUCAAGCAAUUUCCAUGUUAAAUUUUCUUAAAACUAAACCUGAUUUUAAAUAUGUUCUCCACAAUCAUGAGAUAUAUGAAUGGUUACCAACUGACGAGGGGCUUAUUUUUUUGGGCGUGUUCCAAAAUGGUCCAAACAUGUUCCCAAGUGUGCUAACACAUUUUAACUUGCUGAUUUGUAAAAAUACAGCUGCAGAUUAAGUUUUAGAUGCUUUUCCUAUUUCAAUUAGGAAAUGUUUCUAAUUUUCCUAUUUUAAUUAGGAUUAGUUAGGAUUCUAUUCGAUUUCCUAUCCUAGCGAUUUGAAUAUACAAGGUGAAUCUAUCGAUUUGGUUGAUUUUUUUUUUCCUAGAGGGUUGUUUGAGCCUAUAGUCUCAAAUUUUAGGGUAUGUUCGGCAUGGUUUCAAAUCGCAGUCGUGAUAGUGUUCACAAUCGCUGUCACUAGUAAUAGAAAUAGCCUGUAAUGGCCGUAGCAUAACGGUAAUAGCCUGACGCUACGCAAAUUUUUUUGAAAAAUUUACA
rnacentral:misc_RNA from 1 species